rnacentral:misc_RNA from 1 species
GAUGAAGAACGCAGUGAAAUGCGAUAAGUAAUGUGAAUUGCAGAAUUCAGUGAAUCAUCGAAUCUUUGAACGCAUAUUGCGCCCCCUGGUAUUCCGGGGGGCAUGCCUGUCCGAGCGUCAUUACAACCCUCAAGCUCAGCUUGGUGUUGGGCCCCGCCGCCCCGGCGGGCCCUAAAGUCAGUGGCGGUGCCGUCCGGCUCCGAGCGUAGUAAUUCUUCUCGCUCUGGAGGUCCGGUCGUGUGCUCGCCAGCAACCCCCAAGUUUUUUCAGGUUGACCUCGGAUCAGGUAGGGAAACCCGCUGAACUUAAGCAUAUCAAUAAGCGGAGGA